CAGGUAUUCUUAGUGGGGACACUUUUUUCAUUUAAUCCACCCCUUUCUUGUUUAGGUUACAGUUGUAAAUAUGACUAAUUUUUUUUUUUUUAACUAGGAAAGAGACAACAAUGAGAAUCUUAGGGGAGAAUGUUAACAGUGAAGUAGCUGGAACUUCAUCUAUUUCGAGAGUCCUGUGAGCAGGUUGGAUCUCUAUGGUUACAAGUGAAAGAACCAGAAACUAGUGGGUUCUUUUAUCACAGAGACAUGAUUUCUCAGUCACCUUUCUCAUUGUUCUGAGAAGCCGGGCAGAAAAAGAAGAAAAUGAAUGAUGAGGCAAGAGUUGGUGAAAUUGGGUUUCUGAAAUUCCCUUCAUUAAUGGGUUCAACUGAGUUAAUCAUUUUGUAA
rnacentral:lncRNA from 1 species